CACCAAGGUCCAAGAGAAUCAGAGGCCAAUGGCAACCUAGGCAUGGCUGAAAGCUCACCCCCCUUCCUCCGAGCAGUGCUGAGGGGCACCCAAAGCAUCUCCCAGAAUGAACUGUCCAUUCCACCCCUCCCUUUCCAGAGAUGUUGGGUUUGCAUCUCUUUUAGCAGAAAGGUUGUCACCCCCAGCCACCCUCCUUUGGACCUUGGUGCUGCAGCUGGUGCCACACCACUUCACCAACCUGGUUUCCGUGCCCCCCACAUGUGUGCGUCAGGGGUCUCUCUUCAGCCCCAGGACUUUCUCCUAAGCCUCAGAUAGUAGCUUUGUCCGGGCACACACAGCCCUGGAAUGGGGACCCUCAACCAAGGGGAGCCGGAAGUCAGUGGGAACUACCUAGCUUUCUGCCCUUGGGAGAGAGAACUAUGAGGCGUAUUCUUUCCAGUUCCUCAGAAACCCUCCAGCAGAGCUGAGCCGCGUUGCCCACUGCAGUAGCCAGCCCGAUAACAUAGUCCAUGUUGACUUUCUUCCCUUUUGGUCUUCUGUUUCCCACUGCUUCCUGCGAUUACUUUCCAUGGAAGCUACCUGCAUUCACACGUGUGUUUCAGGCUUUGCUUUCAAAAUAACUCAAAACAGAUACCACCCCAAUGUCCUUGAGGUUGGGCCUAUGUACAUGUGAACAAAAUGACCAGUUGGCCAGGUCGCUUCUGCUAAUUCUCCACCACUCGAUGAAGUGGAAGAGAAGGUAUUUGGAUGCCCCACUGUCCCAAGACUAUGGGAUUAUCUUCCUCCCACUGUCAUUCAUAUUUACACCUCUGUGGAUGGGUGAAGCAUUAAUACAGACUUUCAGUGAACUGAACUGAGCAGUUAAAAACAAAGCCGGAUGAAUGACAAGAUGUGAAAAGAAGCAAUCCCUUCAGAUUCUUUUAUCUUGCUUGCUUUAAAUGUUCAAACACCCAAACAGGCUGAUAAAUUAAGAUUUCAUGGAAAGCUGUGCGUAGCUUUCAGCCACAGCAAUAGUCCGAGGUUCUAGUUCUCUGGUGCCAAUAAUAAAAUCAUUUCAAAUGCAAAUAAAAAGUCAGUGUUGAAAAUGACCAGUUUAGAAAAAUUGUGCUAUAGUUACCAGCUCUCAUACAAACAGUGCCUGAGAAAGUCAGAUCGCAGUCUAUAAACAGGCUAUAUUUA
rnacentral:lncRNA from 1 species